UUUGUAUUUCUAAGAUGGCUUGGCAAAAAUAACAGCCAAAAAAAAAGAAAAGAAAGAAAAAGAAAUUUCAGCUAGGCUCUAUUCUCUAAAUGAUGUUUGAAGCUGUAUGAUAUUGCCCUUAAUUAAGUAUACAUAGAAGCCCAGUGUGUUGUCACAUGCCUGUAAUCCCAGCAAUUUGGGAAUCUGAGGCUAGAGAAUCACAAGUUCAAGACCAAAGUAAGCAACUUAGUUAAACCCUGUCUCAAAACAAGAAAUAUAAAAGGGUCAGGGAUGUAGCUUACUGGUAAAUUACCCCUGGGUUCUUUACCCUGGGUUCAAUACCAAGUGCUAG
rnacentral:lncRNA from 1 species